rnacentral:lncRNA from 1 species
ACUAAUCAUGCAGAUUUUAAUUAAUAAAAAUUAGUUGAAAAUAUUACUACACGUUUGAAAUAAUUUUAACCAUAGUAAUGCUAUCUCUUGGGCCAUUUUGAAGGAUUGGUAGACCAUGGUUCAUGUAAGAGUUUUGGUGGGGAGGGGGGAGGGAGUUCAUGUGAGUACUAAAUUUUUAUAGACUUUAAAACACACUUAUCUAUUUUUUAAAAUUAAAACAUAUUUAUUCAUAAUAAGAAUCAAAAAGUUAGUUCUGGUCAACGUAAAAACAAUGUCUAUGGAUUACAUGAAUCCGAAGAUAAAGACAUAAAAUAAACAACCCAAAAGUUAGAAGAAAUAGUAUGGAAAGAAGACAAGAGCUUCCUGCUCUAGUAACCACCGACAAGCAACCCAACAUACAUUUGCGACUUCAUAGAAACUGGGUGUCUAAACUAGUCAGUAGAUCUGUCGACACUCGCCUUUAGAUACACUACAUACAUCGUAAUCUGAUUUCCGAAAACGUAACCAUCUCACAAGUCUGAAAACCACACACCUCUUCACAAUCAUCCCAUAUGUGAGAUGAAGCCACAACAGAAAGGAAACACAACGGCAUCAGAUACCUUCACAUCAACUAAUACAUACCCAAUAACCUGAUGACUAACGAACAGAAAUGGGCAUCUUCUAUGUCAUCCUCUAAAUCUUAAAUCCUAAAUCAUUGGAUAAAUCCUAAUCCCUUGGAUAAAUCCUAAUCCCGUAGAUAAAUCCUAAACUCUAAAUAAAAAAUACUAAACAUUAAAACCAUAAACCCUAAAUCCUAAAUCCUAAAUCCUAAAUCCUAAAUCCUAAACCCUAAACCCUUAAGUGUUUUAGUGUUUAGUGAUUUUGAUUUAG